rnacentral:rRNA from 1 species
CUACGGGUGGCACCAGUGGGGAAUAUUGCACAAUGGAGGAAACUCUGAUGCAGCAACGCCGCGUGGAGGAUGACACUUUUCGGAGCGUAAACUCCUUUUAUAUAGGAAGAAGAUGACGGUACUAUAUGAAUAAGCGCCGGCUAACUCCGUGCCAGCAGCCGCGGUAAUACGGAGGGGCGCAAGCGUUACUCGGAAUCACUGGGCGUAAAGAGCGUGUAGGCGGAUUAAAAAGUCAGAAGUGAAAUCCUAUAGCUUAACUAUAGAACUGCUUCUGAAACUCUUAAUCUAGAAUAUGGGAGAGGCAGAUGGAAUUUCUGGUGUAGGGGUAAAAUCCGUAGAGAUCAGAAGGAAUACCGAUUGCGAAGGCGAUCUACUAGAACAUUAUUGACGCUGAGACGCGAAAGCGUGGGGAGCAAACAGGAUUAGAUACCCUCGUAGUC